rnacentral:lncRNA from 1 species
GUCGUCCGUCGUUAGCUUUUACAAAAAUCUUCUCCUCUGAAACUAAUGGGCCAAAUUAAACCAAACUUGGCCACAAUCAUCAUUGGAGUAUCUAGUUUAAAAAAUGUGUUGCGUGACCCUGCCAACCAACCAAGAUGGCCGCCAUGGCUAAAAAUAGAACAUAGGGGUAAAAUGUAGAUUUUGGCUUAUAACUCUGAAACCAAAGCAUUAAAAGCAAAUCUGACAUGGGGU